rnacentral:misc_RNA from 1 species
CUCUGUCGCAUCCUUGAUUUCUAGAAGCGUUUCCGCCCUCUCCCUGGGCAUUUCUUCUUCGCGUUUUUCCUGUGGGGACGUCUGGAUCAGGGCGUACACACAUGGACGCCUCGCUUGCACUGAAGGUUCCCAUGCAAUGUCCGCUUCUACUCUUCCCACUCGUGAGGGCCUCUGCGUUUCACCCCCCAGGGAGGCGGUGGGGACUCGAGGUCCUUUCGCGUCUACUCCAAAGGCGGCGGCGGCGGACUCGACAUCAGAGGAAGGGGCUGGGGCGCCUUCCGAGUGCGACGCAGCAACGGCGGGGGUGUCUGAGGCCGGCGCGUUCGAGGUAAAAGUGAAGUCGACUGCCCAUCAUGAGCGCCGUCGACCGCGAUGCUGCAGUGACGCCAGUGGCACUCUGCAGACCGCGAGGUCCAAGCGCAGCUCUUGCGCUCGCCAAGACAGCGUGACCAACACAGAUGCGUCAGCGACUGCACCUGCCACCGGCAUCGAGACGCAAGACAUCACCAGUGGGGCUGCGGGUAAAGGGCCUUUGCACUCCGGCGCCGAGAGUACGACGACACCAUCGUUUUUAGAGCACCACGUGCAGGAUGCCCCGCAGCACAGCAGUUACAGGGAUGCUGGGAACGCCUCUGUGCCGGCUUCGGCAGCCAACACACUCAACUCCAUAGGAUGCACGGAAGUGCCACCAACAACAGCCGUCACAAUGUGGGUACCGACGCAGUUCACUACGGCUGCUGGACGCGCCAUAUGCUUGCGAGAGCGGCGACUCUUGACGGCAGCAUCUCCCUACUGGAAGCUUCUCCGCUUUGACCCGGCGAGAGAGGCGAUCGUGGCGCCGCCCGGCUCUUCCGCUGACGAGUGCGAUCACGAGGAUGAGGCCGUUCUUAUUGAUUCUGGGGAACUUUCUGACACAAUGCCCGCAGCAAAACACGCUGCAGAACAGUUGCCCACUGACGCUGCUGCUGCUGCACUCCGCGGCGCUAUUGGCGAGUCAUGUUGCGAGGGCACAGUGAAUGCCGCGUCACCGUUGACAUCCACCUAUGCUGGUUAUGCGUGGGUGCAUCGUUGUGUGCGGCGCCGACGCGCCGCGUCGUGUCCUGAGCGCGUUCUCGGCUCGUGGUCGUAUCUCUCGGUGGGUAGGGACGCAGACUACUCGCUGCCACCCUUCUCGGGCUUCUGUGCCGCUGACGGCCGCCCUUUCUACUGCCACUAUUCGCCUGCUUCUGCCGAGGGACAGGAUUGCCAGCAGCGUCGAUCUGGCAGAGUCGAGGGUGCUUGACAGGGUCCUAUCCCACUGUGCUUUGCUUGAAAUACGUGUUCUCUGUGGCCGAUUUCUUUCGGUGCGUGCAGAGGUGCGAAUGGCGGCAGUCUACUGCGCGCCGUCACUCUUGUUUUUAUUCCUUAUCUAUCUGCUGCUACUACCUGCCGCUUGCGUGCGUUGCUUGGAUACAGCGAUGCACUGCACGCCUCUCCACCCAUACGCUCACUUUGUCUCUUAGACAUGAUGCUCGCGAAGCAAUAACGAAA